GGAUGUGGGAAGAAAUGGAUAAUAUGGCAUACACCAGCAAUUAAUUGCCCAAGUCACCGAGAAGUUAAUUGAUGUAAGAGAAAAUCAAUAAUUUUUAAUUAUUAGAAAUCUGUGAAUGUGUUUGGAUUUUGAUGCCAGGAUGUUGGUAUAGGACAGGAUAAUAGCUGGAAAAUGGCAAUUGAUAGUUGUCAGACAUACAGUAGCCUUGAAAAGCCAGACAGCACAAAUAAGUGUUUUUUAAAGGAGUUUCAGGUAGGUGUCUGAAAUUAAGAUAGAAAAUACAAGUAAUACUCAGUGUGUCUAGCAGCACCUGUGGGCUGUGUCA